UACGGAGGAUGCGAGCGUUAUCCGGAUUUAUUGGGUUUAAAGGGUGCGCAGGCGGCCUGUUAAGUCAGCGGUGAAAGUCCGCGGCUCAACCGUGGAAUUGCAGUUGAAACUGGAGGCCUUGAGUGCACACAGGGGUGCCGGAAUUCAUGGCGUAGCGGUGAAAUGCUUAGAUAUCAUGAAGAACUCCGAUCGCGAAGGCAGCUUACUAAGCCAUAACUGACACUGAAGCACGAAAGCGUGGGGAUCAAACAGG
rnacentral:rRNA from 1 species